AAGGUCUUGGCUGUAGCCACGG
rnacentral:miRNA from 1 species